GCCGGGUGCGGUGGCGUGUGCCUGUAGUCCCGGCUACUCGGGAGGCUGAGGCUGGAGGGUCGCUUGAGCCCAGGAGUUCUGGGCCGUAGUGCACUAUGCCGAUCGGGUGUCCGCACUAAGUUCGGCAUCAAUAUGGCGACCUCCCAGGAGUGGGGGACCACCAGGUUACCUAGGGAGGGGUGAACCAGCCCAGGUCGGAAACGGAGCAGGUCAAAACUGCCGUGCUGAUCAGUAGUGGGAUCGCGCCUGUGAAUAGCCACUGCACCCCAGCCUGGGCAACAUAGUGCGAACCUGCUUCUU
rnacentral:SRP_RNA from 1 species